AUUGAACGCUGGCGGCAGGCUUAACACAUGCAAGUCGAACGGUAACAGAGAAGUGCUUGCACUUUUGCUGACGAGUGGCGGACGGGUGAGUAAUGCUUGGGAAUAUGCCAAAACGUGGGGGACAACAGUUGGAAACGACUGCUAAUACCGCAUAAUGUCUUCGGACCAAAGCAGGGGACCUUCGGGCCUUGCGCGUUUUGAUUAGCCCAAGUGGGAUUAGCUAGUUGGUAAGGUAAUGGCUCACCAAGGCAAUGACGCCUAACUGGUUUGAGAGGAUGAUCAGUCACACUGGAACUGAGACACGGUCCAG
rnacentral:rRNA from 1 species